CUGCUCAGCUCCACCAGAGCCUCCAAGGAAACUCCCCGCCUCAGAGCCCCAUCCCCACUGGAGACAAUCCACUGGGAUGCCCCACGAAGAGCCCGGCUGAUCCAAACCCUGCCUCUGCGCCCCCAGUAAACUCCCCCAGAACCAAACCUUGGCUCCCUCCUAACUCAGGGAAACACGGGGGCGGGGGUGUGGCAACAGACAGGGAGUGAAAAGGGAAAAGGUUCAUUAUAUGCAAAGCAGAGGAUCCAUUUGGGCUCCAGUUAAUUCUUCCAAGGCAAAAAGUCAACAAAUAUCCUUCAUUGUUGUUAUUUUUCCUCUUCUAUCUCUCAAAGGCUCCACUCUGCCUGACUUAUGCUGCAGAUACCCCUGGUGCUUGCUUGUCUUAAUGUUGGCAAGGAAAUUGCAUGUUUUUACUUCUGGCUAAGUCUGUCUCUCCCUGCUCGAGGUUACUAUCGGGCAAAUCUUCAGAGCGAGUGUAUGGUUCUGCUUUGCAUUACUGAGUGCUGUACAGGAUAAGCCAUUAGAGCGAGUAUUGCUUUCCACUGGAACUGACAUUUUGUUGAUACUUCAUCAGACUGAAUGCUCUGGUGGCAAGGAAGAUUAAAACAGAAGAAACGGAGCUCAUGAUUGGAAUGUGUGAGAGGUGCAAACAUUUGAAGUCUUUUUAAGGACUUUAGCAUUCUUUGGAAAACCUUGAUGAAGACUACAUCAGCUGCAGCAUUCCCAAACUCCCAUGGAGGGAAAAAGGAAUAAAUUUCAGGCAGUUUAAAGGC